UGUUACGGACAAGCAAAGAAAGUGGUUUCCUGAGAUGGAAUCUACCCUUGGUGAAGAUGCUGUGAA
rnacentral:pre_miRNA from 1 species